rnacentral:rRNA from 1 species
AGAAUGAGAGCUUCGGCAGGAAUUUUUCUUAUCUUAGUGGCGGACGGGUGAGUAACGUGUGGGCAACCUGCCCUGCACUGGGGAAUAAUCAUUGGAAACGAUGACUAAUACCGCAUACGGUUCCUGGGAGGCAUCUUCCGGGAAAGAAAGGAUUUAUUCGGUGCAGGAUGGGCCCGCAUCUGAUUAGCUAGUUGGUGAGAUAACAGCCCACCAAGGCGACGAUCAGUAGCCGACCUGAGAGGGUGACCGGCCACAUUGGGACUGAGACACGGCCCAAACUCCUACGGGAGGCAGCAGUGGGGAAUAUUGCACAAUGGGCGAAAGCCUGAUGCAGCAACGCCGCGUGAAGGAAGAAGGGUUUCGGCUCGUAAACUUCUAUCAACAGGGACGAAAGAAAUGACGGUACCUGAAUAAGAAGCCCCGGCUAACUACGUGCCAGCGGCCGCGGUAAUACGUAGGGGGCAAGCGUUAUCCGGAAUUACUGGGUGUAAAGGGUGAGUAGGCGGCAUGGUAAGCCAGAUGUGAAAGCCUUGGGCUUAACCCGAGGAUUGCAUUUGGAACUAUCAAGCUAGAGUACAGGAGAGGAAAGCGGAAUUCCUAGUGUAGCGGUGAAAUGCGUAGAUAUUAGGAAGAACACCAGUGGCGAAGGCGGCUUUCUGGACUGAAACUGACGCUGAGGCACGAAAGCGUGGGGAGCGAACAGGAUUAGAUACCCUGGUAGUCCACGCCGUANACGAUGAGUGCUAGGUGUCGGGGAGGAAUCCCCGGUNCCGCAGCUAACGCAAUAAG